rnacentral:rRNA from 1 species
AUUGAACUCUGGCGGCAGGCCUAACACAUGCAAGUCGAGCGGUAGCACAGAGAGCUUGCUCUCGGGUGACGAGCGGCGGACGGGUGAGUAAUGUCUGGGAAACUGCCUGAUGGAGGGGGAUAACUACUGGAAACGGUAGCUAAUACCGCAUAACGUCGCAAGACCAAAGUGGGGGACCUUCGGGCCUCAUGCCAUCAGAUGUGCCCAGAUGGGAUUAGCUGGUAGGUGGGGUAACGGCUCACCUAGGCGACGAUCCCUAGCUGGUCUGAGAGGAUGACCAGCCACACUGGAACUGAGACACGGUCCAGACUCCUACGGGAGGCAGCAGUGGGGAAUAUUGCACAAUGGGCGCAAGCCUGAUGCAGCCAUGCCGCGUGUGUGAAGAAGGCCUUCGGGUUGUAAAGCACUUUCAGCGGGGAGGAAGGCGGUGAGGUUAAUAACCUCACCGAUUGACGUUACCCGCAGAAGAAGCACCGGCUAACUCCGUGCCAGCAGCCGCGGUAAUACGGAGGGUGCAAGCGUUAAUCGGAAUUACUGGGCGUAAAGCGCACGCAGGCGGUCUGUCAAGUCGGAUGUGAAAUCCCCGGGCUCAACCUGGGAACUGCAUUCGAAACUGGCAGGCUAGAGUCUUGUAGAGGGGGGUAGAAUUCCAGGUGUAGCGGUGAAAUGCGUAGAGAUCUGGAGGAAUACCGGUGGCGAAGGCGGCCCCCUGGACAAAGACUGACGCUCAGGUGCGAAAGCGUGGGGAGCAAACAGGAUUAGAUACCCUGGUAGUCCACGCUGUAAACGAUGUCGAUUUGGAGGUUGUGCCCUUGAGGCGUGGCUUCCGGAGCUAACGCGUUAAAUCGACCGCCUGGGGAGUACGGCCGCAAGGUUAAAACUCAAAUGAAUUGACGGGGGCCCGCACAAGCGGUGGAGCAUGUGGUUUAAUUCGAUGCAACGCGAAGAACCUUACCUGGUCUUGACAUCCACAGAACUUUCCAGAGAUGGAUUGGUGCCUUCGGGAACUGUGAGACAGGUGCUGCAUGGCUGUCGUCAGCUCGUGUUGUGAAAUGUUGGGUUAAGUCCCGCAACGAGCGCAACCCUUAUCCUUUGUUGCCAGCGGUCCGGCCGGGAACUCAAAGGAGACUGCCAGUGAUAAACUGGAGGAAGGUGGGGAUGACGUCAAGUCAUCAUGGCCCUUACGACCAGGGCUACACACGUGCUACAAUGGCAUAUACAAAGAGAAGCGACCUCGCGAGAGUAAGCGGACCUCAUAAAGUAUGUCGUAGUCCGGAUUGGAGUCUGCAACUCGACUCCAUGAAGUCGGAAUCGCUAGUAAUCGUAGAUCAGAAUGCUACGGUGAAUACGUUCCCGGGCCU